rnacentral:misc_RNA from 1 species
GAGAGAGAGAGAGAGAUUCAGGGUAUUCAGAAAAGUGGAAACUCAGUUGGAGACAUCUAAAGAGAAUUAUUUACAUACUCUUUGCUUUUGGGUGAUUGGAAUACCUCUUUUUUUUUUAUCAGUUUAACAUUUUAUUUCUUUUAUAGCAUUUCUUGUGAUCAUUAGUCUUAUAUUGCUGGAGUACAUAUAGGAGGAGCUUUCUUUUUAU